UGCCCCAGUAACGGCGAGUGAAGCGGCAACAGCUCAAAUUUGAAAUCUGGUCCCCAGGGCCCGAGUUGUAAUUUGCAGAGGAUGCUUUUGGUGAGGUGCCUUCCGAGUUCCCUGGAACGGGACGCCAUAGAGGGUGAGAGCCCCGUCUGGUUGGAUACCGAGCCUCUGUAAAGCUCCUUCGACGAGUCGAGUAGUUUGGGAAUGCUGCUCUAAAUGGGAGGUAUAUGUCUUCUAAAGCUAAAUAUUGGCCAGAGACCGAUAGCGCACAAGUAGAGUGAUCGAAAGAUGAAAAGCACUUUGAAAAGAGGGUUAAAUAGUACGUGAAAUUGUUGAAAGGGAAGCACUUAUGACCAGACUUGGCCCCGGUGAAUCAUCCAGCGGUUCCCGCUGGUGCACUUUGCCGGGGUUCAGGCCAGCAUCAGUUCGCUCCGGGGGAUAAAGGCUUUGGGAAUGUGGCUCCCUCGGGAGUGUUAUAGCCCAUUGCGUAAUACCCUGUGGCGGGCUGAGGUUCGCGCUUUAUGCAAGGAUGCUGGCAUAAUGGUCAUCAGUGACCCGUCUUGA
rnacentral:misc_RNA from 1 species